AUUGAACGCUGGCGGCAGGCCUAACACAUGCAAGUCGAACGAGUGGCGGACGGGUGAGAAAUGUCUGGGACAUUGCCUUAUGGCGGGGGAUAACUACGGGAAACGGUAGCAAUUACCGAAAACCAUCGGAUGUGCCCUGAUGGGAUUAGCUAGUAGGUAGGGUAAAGGCUCACCUAGGCCACGAUGCAUAGCUGAUCUGAGAGGAUGACCAGCCACACUGGAACUGAGACACGGUCCAGACUCCUACGGGAGGCAGCAGUAGGGAAUAUUGCGCAAUGGGCGAAAGCCUGAUGCAGCCAUGCCGCGUGUGUGAAGAAGGCCUUCGGAUUGUAAAAUGCUUUCAGCAGGGAAGCGUUACCCAAACAGGAAGCCCCGGCUAACUCCGUGCCAGCAGCCGCGGUAAUUC
rnacentral:rRNA from 1 species